rnacentral:rRNA from 1 species
AGGGUUUGAUUCUGGCUCAGGACGAACGCUGGCGGCACGCCUAACACAUGCAAGUCGAACGGAGAAAAUGAUUUCGGUUAUUUUCUUAGUGGCGGACGGGUGAGUAACACGUGAGGAACCUGCCUUUGAGAGUGGGAUAGCUUCUGGAAACGGAUGGUAAUACCGCAUAACAUAGCGAAACCGCAUGAUUUUGCUAUCAAAGUAUUUCGCUCAGAGAUGGCCUCGCGUCUGAUUAGAUAGUUGGUGAGGUAACGGCUCACCAAGUCGACGAUCAGUAGCCGGACUGAGAGGUUGAACGGCCACAUUGGGACUGAGACACGGCCCAG